rnacentral:tRNA from 1 species
CGCGGGGUAGUGGAGAGGUACGCACGUCAGCCCCAUAAGCUGAAGACGCAGGUUCGAAUCCUGCCCCCGCAACCA